rnacentral:ncRNA from 1 species
ACAAGAAAACAAUGAGAGUAACUAUGAUUCUCCUAAGGUAGCCAUAUGCCUCGUCAUAUAAUUAGUGACACACAUGAAUGGAUUAACGAUAUUCCCACUGUCCCUAGCUACUAUCUAAAGAAACCACAACCAAGGGAACGAGCUUGG